rnacentral:misc_RNA from 1 species
GACGGAGGAUCCAAGCGUUAUUCGGAAUGACUGGGCGUAAAGAGUUGCGUAGGCGGCAAUAUAAGCGUGUGAUGAAAUCGUGAGGCUCAACCUCACGGCUAUCAUGCGAACUGUGUUGCUAGAGUAUAUGAGAGGUAGCUGGAAUUUCUAGUGUAGGAGUGAAAUCCGUAGAUAUUAGAAGGAACACCAAUGGCGUAGGCAGGCUACUGGCAUAUUACUGACGCUAAGGCACGAAAGCGUGGGGAGCGAACGGG